rnacentral:lncRNA from 1 species
UGACUUUGGAGCUGAUUCAGUUUAAAUGUUUAAAAGGAAUUUUUUGCAGUUGACAAAAUCAUGUUCAUUGCAUCAUACAAUCCAAAGAAAGUCUACAGUGAAUUGAAACCAUUCAAAACUAGGUGUUCAAAAGCAAGUUUAUUGCUUCAUAUAAUCCAUAGGAAGUUACAGUUUUGACACCUUAAAAAAAAUCAUGUGUACUUAAAAGUCAGUUUAUUGCUAUAUAUAUUAUGUGUACUAAAGCCUCAGUGUAUUGCUUCAUAUUAAACUAUGCAAGUCUACAGUUUUGACACCUCACAAAAUAAUGUGUAAUAAAUCCAGUUUAUUGCUUCACAGAACGCAGGGGGAAAAGGGGAUGGGGGAUCUGGGGGUUGGAACUCCCCUUUUUUUGUGACAAUCCAUCAUUUUUAAUGGGGACACAUGGUUGGAA